AUAGCGUAUAUUGAAGUUGUUGCAGUUAAAAAGCUCGUAGUUGGAUCUGAGGUGGGAGUCGUCGGUUCAGCUUGCGCUGCGACUGUACGUGCUCUACCUUACACAGUCAUUAGACGCUCUGUGGUGCUCUUUAUUGAGUGCUGCGGAGUGCAUGGCACGUUUACUUUGAAAAAAUUAAAGUGCUCAAAGCAGGCUUUAUAGCUUGUAUACUCUUGCAUGGAAUAAUGGAAUAGGACUUCGGUUCUAUUUUAUUGGUUUUCGGACCCGGAGUAAUGAUUAAAAGAGACUGCCGGGGGCAUAUGUAUGGUGGCGUUAGAGGUGAAAUUCUUGGAUCGCCGCCAGACAGUCUACUG
rnacentral:rRNA from 1 species